rnacentral:rRNA from 1 species
CUCUGUGACUCCUACGGGAGGCAGCAGUGGGGAAUAUUGCACAAUGGGCGCAAGCCUGAUGCAGCCAUGCCGCGUGUAUGAAGAAGGCCUUCGGGUUGUAAAGUACUUUCAGCAGUGAGGAAGGUGGGUAUGUUAAUAGCAUACUCAUUUGACGUUAGCUGCAGAAGAAGCACCGGCUAACUCCGUGCCAGCAGCCGCGGUAAUACGGAGGAUGCAAGCGUUAUCCGGAUUCAUUGGGUUUAAAGGGUGCGUAGGCGGAAUAGUAAGUCAGGGGUGAAAGUUUGCGGCUCAACCGUAAAAUUGCCUUUGAUACUGUUAUUCUUGAGUACAUUUGAGGUAGGCGGAAUGUGUUGUGUAGCGGUGAAAUGCUUAGAUAUAACACAGAACACCGAUUGCGAAGGCAGCUUACUAAACUGUAACUGACGCUGAUGCACGAAAGCGUGGGGAUCGAACAGGAUUAGAUACCCUGGUAG